rnacentral:rRNA from 1 species
GACAGAGGGUGCAAACGUUGUUCGGAUUUACUGGGCGUAAAGCGCGUGUAGGCGGCUUUGCAAGUCGGAUGUGAAAGCCCACGGCUCAACCGUGGAAGUGCAUCCGAAACUGCAUGGGCUGGAGUCUCGGAGAGGAAGGUGGAAUGCUUGGUGUAGAGGUGAAAUUCGUAGAUAUCAAGCAGAACACCUGCGGCGAAGGCGGCCUUCUGGACGAUGACUGACGCUGAGACGCGAAAGCGUGGGGAGCAAACAGG